rnacentral:misc_RNA from 1 species
AAGUCGUAACAAGGUUUCCGUAGGUGAACCUGCGGAAGGAUCAUUAACAAAUUCUACAUACACCACCGUGAACAGCCCUUUGGGCGCUGCUUGUCAGCACAUACACAAAGUCUAUUGAAAAAAAAGAAAAAACAACUUUUAACAAUGGAUCUCUUGGCUCUU